AAUUAACGUUUUUUUUUUUUUUUUUUUUAAAUAUAUUGUUUAGUGCUUGUACAAAGCAAACCGUUGCAUUUGAGAUCAUUACAAAAUCACGUCUCGAAUGUUUUUUUUUUUCUUUUUGUCAAUCUUUCUUAUUUUAUUUAUUUAUUUUUUACAUUUGGGAAAUGACGUGAGCUGCAGAGCUCUGUGCCUGGAACUCUUUUGUAUAUGAAUAAUCAGUGACCUUUCGAUAGAUUGUUAAUUAUCGAUCAUAAUAAGAAGCAGAAAAGGACCCGCCGUAAGGACCCGACGAUCAGGACGGAGAUGGAUGUCGUUCUUGGAUCUAACUUGAAGGCCGACUGUGUUCGCUCGCCCGUUAUUCCACUUCAUCUUUCCUCUCGUCGUUUUCCGCGUCACCUUUUCCUCUGGCGUUCCUCGUAUCCUCCUCCACUCUGUGAUGCCCGAACAUCUGUCUCCUCGCCUAUCCUUAUCGCCUUGCCGCAUAGUCAAUAAUGAUUGUUUUUCUUCUUUCUGUGUUCUGUCUCAGGCUUCAGAUCACAUAGUGCGUGCGCUCUGUCAUUCUGCUGAAAGCUCAGCCUCAAAAUUACGCCCGAGAAUUUCUACCUACUGCUGUUUAUGGAGCUCACAGCACUCUUUCUCUGUCUGGGGAAAGGAAGUGUGUUGAGACAGACACAUCAUGCUCUAAAACCUUUUGCUGUAAAUUAUAGAAAAGUUGCUCUAGCAAUCCCUUCUUAAGAAUCGCUGUAGAGGACAGCAAGUUCCAGCAAUCACACUGAAGUGAGCGAUUCUGAAGCAGUUUCUGCUAUCGCUGUAUGAACAUAUCUCAUCAUAUGUCAUCGUAAGGUCAGAGAGUGUAGAGGCGGCUGGAAUCUGCAUGACGUGACGGCAUAGUGUUGGGACACGUUAGUGGUUAGCACGUUCGCCUCACACCUCCAGGGUCGGGGGUUGGAUUCCCACCGUGGCCCUGUGUGUGCGGAGUUUAUAUGUUCUCCCCGUGCUGCGGGGGUUUCCUCCCCCGGUCCAAAGACAUGCAUGGUAGGCUGAUUGGCGUGUCCAAAGUGUCCGUAGUGUAUGAAUGGGUGUGUGAAUGUGUAUGUGAUUGUGCCCUGCGAUGGAUUGGCACCCUGUCCAGGGUGUACCCCGCCUCGUGCCCGAUGCUCCCUGGGAUAGGCUCCAGGUUCCCCGUGACCUUGAAAAGGAUAAGCGGUAUAGACGAUGGAUGGUUCACCUAUGAUUUCUAAUGCAUUGUGCCGCAUUGUGCGUAAUGCACCUAAUGAUUUCAUGCAUUGCGCUGUUGCUAAAAGAUAACUACAUGUAUAUGAAUACAAAUAGGGGUAUUCCUAAUAAAAUGACCUGACUGGGGGUAAAGAAUAAAAUGUUGUUUGUUUGUUUUUUU
ensembl:lncRNA